rnacentral:lncRNA from 1 species
GAGAGCUGUACGGAGUUGCUCGAUUUUUGGUGUAGGAAUUGAAUUUUAAGAUAUCGCGGUUGCCCACCUACACGGAAUUGCCCGAUUUUUGUUGUGGGAAUUGAAGUUGAAGAUAUCAAGGUUGCCCAUGGAUGCAUUGUGCAGUUCACCUUUGCAAGUGCUGUCUUCGUCCUCGAGCCUCGGUUCAUCGACUCCUCGUACUUUUGCGCAGGGUGGGCAGGAUUUCGUGAGCUUUUCUUCUAGCCGGAGUGGAGCUUUCGGGAGUAGCGUGCGCUCGAGUCCAAUAUGGACACCUAAUCGAAGAGAGGGGCAUGGCACUUGCGAAUGUGUUGCGGCACCAGCUGCAGAAGAGGCCCUAGCGAGGGGCUCUUCGAGUACGCUCUACAGCGUUUUGGGCGUGGAUAAUGGUGGGAGUUUGUCUGAUAUUAAGUCUGCUUACAAG